rnacentral:lncRNA from 1 species
ACGUGUUAUUCAUCCUUCAGUACUCCGCUAACACACACUUUCAUCUGGAAGAACUUACUCUGUCCCCCAUUCUAGACUUACAUAGGCUGGAAGUAAAAGGAUGGAAAAAAGAGUCUCCACACAAAGUUUCUGUAGGUCAGACAUCCAGCAAGGAGUUUCUGGGUUCUUUGCUCUGGGUUUUAGGAGAGUGAAUUCGAGAUGUGAGCCAGACCAAGUUCUAAUUUGUAAACUCUGAAGAAAAGUUAUUGUCCAAGGUAUUUUGUGGUGAAGAUGAACUCUAGAAUCAGGUACUGCAAUUUGAAUGCUGGCUCCACAACUGAUAAGGUACAUGCCCUGGGACAAACCACACCACCUCUCAGAGCCUGUCACAAGGCAGUCAGGACAUUUUAGGAGCAAACGCCUAUGAAGCUCGUAAAAAGGGCUUGGCUUAUGGGAAGUGAGUUUAACAAUUCUGAAGAAGUAUCAUUUGCAAGCGUCUGGGGAAAAAAUGAUCAGAAUUUGAAGAAAGAACAAAACGCACAAAGUAACAAUAAAAAAAAUCAAUGAAAGACAAAGCAACAGAAGAACAGAGUAAUAAAGCACAGAUCCACCGAACACAAUUCACAGAGCAGGAGUGAGUUCGAGCAAGCGGCUCAAAAGCCUCCUUAAUCAGGGUUUUUAUUAAGCUGUAAAGAACCCGGCGACACCCUUCGGUUCCCGCCUGCCCCCCCGCCCCCCCACCCCGAGGCCUCCAAUUGGCCACACCCAUGAAGGACUGACCUGUGACCAAUCAGAGGCUGAAGUGGAGACCCCGCCCGCAGUCAAUCAGAGGCUGAAGUGGCUUGUUAUCUUGGGAGCGAGGACGAGGCCUAUUUGCUGCACUUGCUGCUCUCCUGCCUAUACGACCUGGCUGCACCUGCUGUUCUUUUGCUUAUGCGAACUGGCUUCACCUGCUGUUCUCUUGCUUCUGCGAACUGGCUGCACCUGCUGUUCUCCUGCUCAUGCUUUAACCCCUGCUCACCCCAGUUCCCUAUUCUCCUACCUAGUUUCCCCUUGAGAGAAUUAAUUUAAAUUUAAACUCGGUAACCCUAACCAACUUUCAAGUGCUCAGUAGUCACAUGUGGCUAUGAGUACCAUGUUGGGUAACAGAGAUAUAGAACAUUACCAUCUUUACAGAAACUUCUGUCAGACAUCAGAGGUUAAUCUCUGUUCAUUUGCCUGGAAGGUUUUUCAUAUUACAGGUCAAAGAAAAUUCUUUGAAUCAGAUAGAUAGUAUGCAUAUAUUGUAAGUAACAGAUAACAUAAUUCAAACAAGCUUAUCAAUUAAGGGGAUAUAUUCACUCGUGAAACUGGAAGGCUUCAGAGUUGGUUUGAUUCAACUGUAUAAUAGAAUUGCUAAGAAUAUAUUAUUUGCUUGUCUUCCAGUUCUGAUUUGUGUAAACUUUGGUCUAAGGGCUGUCUUUCAACAUUGUCAUAAGGUGGUUGCCUGUGAUUCCCUGGAAUGCAUAAUCCCACAAAUCUAAUUGAAUUACCUAUUUUCAGAAGAUAAAGGAACUGUUGUUUCUCUAGAUGUAAACACAAACUUUUCAUAAAAUUUAUCAGCCCAAAUUUCAUCAUUUAUCAGUCUCCUAACAAAUCUAUGGUCAAAGAGUAAAGUCAUGUGGCUUAGUUUAGGCAUCAAACAAAGAAUAUGUGGAUCCGUGAAUGAAAAUCAUUGUAGUUAAAAAGAGAAUGUUUGGUGAGAAGGCACACGUGAUGUCUUUUAGCACUCUGUGGUAGUGGUUCUCAAUAGAGAGUGAUGUUUUACUACAGGAAACACUUGGCAAUGUCUGGAAGCAGUUUUAAUUGUAGUCACUGGAGGCAUCUACAAGCAUGUAGAGGGCAAAGGCUAGGGAUUCUGCUAAACAUCCUACAAUGCACAGGACAGCACCCAUCCCCACAACAAAGAUUUACCUGAGCCAAUGUAAAUAGUGCUGGCAUUAAGAAAUCCUCUUCUAUGUGAUUGUAUCUUAUGAAGUCUAGCUUAAAUUUAAAAGUGACUUUAACGACUCACAUAACAGAAAAAUACAGUUAAAUCUGAUUUCAGGCAUGAUCUAGAGAUUUGCAAAAUUCAAGAGAGUUGCAACGUUUUAUAUAUUCCUCCUGCACUUCUUUGCAGUUGUGUUGGUUACUCUGUGAUCUAGAUUCUCAAGUUAUCUCCUUCAUGGUAGCACCAACAAUAACUAUACUUCCAGAUUGUUACCUUUCUCAGAAUCUGCCAGCAAACAGCUGCUUCAUUCAAGUUAGCUAGAAUUGUACCAUGUAUCAGUUGCUAAACUAAUCUAUGACAAAUAUUUGGUUACUCUUACCUAACUGUUACACAACUGAGAAUAGUUGGUGGGUAAUUUUGCAAAGGAAAACCUGAGCGCUCUGGAUGAAGUUGGGGGAGUUUGAUUCUAAACAGACAACUCAUGAAUGUCAACUACGGGGUUGGUGGAAUACAUUAGUAAUUACCAUAGCCAGCAUCUAGCAGUCUAUAAUUGGUGUGUGACUCCAACAGUACUUAAAAGUAUAAUUGUUGAAAUGGGAUGGGCAAUCAAAUAGGUUCAUUAAAAACUUGAAGCAUAGGCUUGAUCAGAAAACAGCUUUCUUUUCCACUGGUACCUUGUAAUCUGAUUGUUUUGAAUUAUCUACUGGCACAUAUUUGUAUAAUAUUCUAUUUCAUGAAAAACAGAUAACAUGCAUAGGACGUUUUUACUUUCUCAUGUUAAAUUUUCAAGUUCGUUUGUAUCUAAACCUUUCAUUAGUUUUACAACAUUUCACUGGUUACUCUGAGUAAUAUAGCUUGCUCAUAUGGAAAACUGAGAUAACAAUAGUAUUCCUUUCUAUUGUUGCUUUUAGAAGCAGAUAAUUUAAAAACAGCGAGUACAACAUUUAAGUAGUAACUGCAUAUUUGUAGAUGUUCAAUCAAUAUUAGCUACAAUUGUUUCUACUCAAUGGUACUGAGAUAUCUAAAGCCAUAAAUAUUAUUUGCAUUUCAUUGUUUUCAGCCUAAGAAUUACUGAGCAAUACUUCAAUUAUCCUUCUUUCUAAAUCAUAUCUGUUGAUCUCAGUUAUGUCUUAAUUUACACUGUAUCUAUAUAUUCCACUAUCUCAAAAUCUUCUUUCUUAUUUCUAUUGUUUAAUAAAAGCUGUUUUCCUGGAAAAAAAAAAAAAA